CCCCUGGUAACUUCCUGUUCUAUUGCUCGAGGCCCUGGGGGACUGGACGCCAGCUGCCCAGUGUGGCUCCUCCCCAUCCCCGGAUGAAGAGGGACAUCCCUUGAGCGCUUGUUACUGCACAAAGUGGGGGUUUCUUGCCUGAUGAGCAUAAGGAGCCAAUUAUGACGGCAUCAGCCUUUGAGAAAAGAAAACAGCUUUAUUGUGAGAUCCAUCAGUAAGGAGACAGGAGGCAUUUGCUCUCAGAUCCAGGGCUUGGAUCCAGGGCUUGGGGCACAAUUUAUGGGAUGACAGGCAGGGCGGUCUGAAGCAUGGAGAUGGAUGAUUGGAGUGAGUUACUUGGGAGAUUGAAGAAACAAGAAAAACAUUUAUUUUAAAGCUGAGCGUCACAGGUCGGGCUCCCUGCUUGGAAACUGAAUGAGGCCAGGUGUCCCUCUAUUUCUUGUUUGCUUGCAUUGAAGGAAACCGGUUGCCAUGCUAUGAGCUGCCCGAUGGAAAGGCCCACAUGGAAGGAACUGAAGUCUUCUGGCUCAAAGUCACUGAGGAACUGAGGCCCUCAGUGCAAAGGCCCUCAAGGUAUUGAGUUCUGCCAACAGUCAUACGAGUAAGACUGGAAGUGGAUCUUCCCGCAGUCAGGCCAUCAGGUGAGACCGCAUUCCUGGCUGACACUCUGACUGCAGCCAUGAGACACGUGGAGCCAGAGGCACCUGGCCAAACUGCAGCUGGAUUCCUGACCCACAGAAGACCCACACAAUAAAUGUUUCUUGUUUUAAGUAGUUAAGUUUUUUGUAAUUUAUUAUGCAGCAAUAGAUAACUAGUACAUCACAGGUAGUAUAGCUGGUGAUGAUGUUAGGAUAGUAGGAGCAUCAGUUUGUCUCUGUAGUCAACAGGCUUGGUGCUUGGACAAGUCAUAUCACCUUUACCUGGUUGAUGUGGGUAAGUCAGUCCUGGCCAUGCCUUCUUUGCUAGUCAUCUGUAGGAAUAAGAUGGAGAUGGGGCGGGUCCUGUAGUGAGUUCUGCUUCAAAUUGCUGGCAGGCCCAUGAAGUGUGUGGACAUAUCUGUCACCUCAUUUGAAUCCUUACAAAACCCUAUGAGGUGGUGUGGUGUUCUCCAUUUUUAAAGAGGAGACACAGAGGCUUGGAGAGGCUAAGUAACUUUCUCAAGGUAAUAGAAUUAGGAAGUGCUGGAGUUGAGACAGAUGCCGAGCCCCAUGCUCUAAGGGACUAUCUCAGAAGGGAUCACCCACACCUGACUAUUGACAUUAUUACUAGUGCUCUCAGAAACAGUGAUAUUGUUUAGGUAAUCCAGUCUCACCGAAUCAGAUGGGGCAUCUUCUAAAAUAGACCAGAGGCAGGCAAGGAAAGG
rnacentral:lncRNA from 1 species